CCUACGGUGCGCAGCAGUGAGGAAUAUUGGUCAAUGGGCGGGAGCCUGAACCAGCCAAGUCGCGUGAGGGAUGAAGGCCCUAUGGGUUGUAAACCUCUUUUGCCGGGGAGCAAAGUGGCGCACGUGUGCGGUGUGGAGAGUACCCGGAGAAAAAGCAUCGGCUAACUCCGUGCCAGCAGCCGCGGUAAUACGGAGGAUGAGAGCGUUAUCCGGAUUUAUUGGGUUUAAAGGGUGCGUAGGCGGACGCUUAAGUCAGCGGUAAAAGUGCGGGGCUCAACCUCGUCGGGCCGUUGAAACUGGGUGCCUUGAGUGGGCGAGAAGUACGCGGAAUGCGUGGUGUAGCGGUGAAAUGCAUAGAUAUCACGCAGAACUCCGAUUGCGAAGGCAGCGUGCCGGCGCCCAACUGACGCUGAAGCACGAAGGCGUGGGUAUCGAACAGGAUUAGAUACCCCAGUAGUC
rnacentral:rRNA from 1 species